GCUACUGGGCCUCUUUGGGGACCAAGUGGAUGCUGUGGAGAUGAAAUGCCACCAGCCAGGCGCUGGAAUUCCAGUUCACAAAGCCAUCAGCUCUCAAGGGUCAUCUUGUAGAAGAAAGAACUGUGGAUUCUGAAGAGGCCCCAGGCAGAAAGGUUAGGGCCUCAAAGGUCGGCUUCCUCUCCUCUGCUCUCAAAUCUGGGGACACGGAAAAGUUGCAGACUUGACUUGCACCCACAGGAGCUUACAUCCUAGAAGGCAGGAUAAACAAAAUAUAGAUAGGCCCUUGCUCAUCCUAAUGUGAUCAAUUACUCACAGGAAUAAAUUAUGCACGUGGCCUACAGUCUAUUAGGUAAUCGCUGGUGGGCCUGCUGAAGGAACCAAGCAGGGGAGACGCUCGUUGUCUAGAGCAGAGGCCAGUGGAAGGGACUUCUGGGGGUCCAGGGUGGAGAAACCAGAAGCAAGAAAAGUCCCAGACCUCCAAGCAAAGGCUGAAGCUGGAGGCAGGUGGGGAUGGGGAGGAAAGGGUAGACUCUCAAGCCAAACUUGAAACCUGUUUGAGGGGCAUGUGUAGCUCUGCUCUGCUGCUUGCCUUUUUCCUGGACAGAGGACACUCCCUCUCUAGCUCCCAUCACUGGUUUUCCCUCUGGAGGAGGCCCCUG